rnacentral:rRNA from 1 species
UGAGUACGAGAUGCUACGGCAUCGAAGCAGUCUAUGUCAUACUUCCAAGAAAAGCUUGCACUGUCAUAAACAAAUAAUGCCUGUACCAUAACCGACACAGGUGGGUAGGUAGAGUAUACUAAGGGGCGCGAGAUAACUCUCUCUAAGGAACUCGGCAAAAUGACUCCGUAACUUCGGGAGAAGGAGUGCCUUAUUUAUAAGGUUGCAAUAACAAGAUCCAAGCAACUGUUUAUCAAAAACACAGGUCUCCGCUAAGUCGUAAGACGAUGUAUGGGGGCUGACGCCUGCCCAGUGCCAGAAGGUUAAAGAAGUUGGUUAGCAUUAGCGAAGCUGAUAACUGAAGCCCUGGUGAACGGCGGCCGUAACGAUAACGGUCCUAAGGUAGCGAAAUUCCUUGUCGGGUAAGUUCCGACCCGCACGAAAGGCGUAAUGAUUUGGAUACUGUCUCGGAGAGGGGCUCGGUGAAAUAGACUUGUCUGUGAAGAUGCGGACUACCUGCACCUGGACAGAAAGACCCUAUGAAGCUUUACUGUAACUUGAAAUUGAAAUUGGACUUUAUUUGCGCAGCAUAGGUGGGAGGCGUUGAAAAUAUUCUCGCGGAAUAUUUGAGCCAUCAGUGAGAUACCACUCUUGUAAUGUUAGAUUUCUAACUUUGUAUCAUUAUCUGGUCAAAGAACAGUUUCAGGCGGGCAGUUUGACUAGGGCGGUCGCCUCCUAAACGGUAACGGAGGCGCACAAAGGUUUCCUCUGAACGGGUAGAAAUCGUAUCUAGAGUGUAAAGGCAUAAGGAGGCUUGACUGUGAGACCUACAAGUCGAGCAGGGACGAAAGUCGGUCUUAGUGAUCUGACGGUGCUGAGUGGAAAGGCCGUCACUCAACGGAUAAAAGUUACUCUAGGAUAACAGGCUGAUCUCCCCCAAGAGUUCACAUCGACGGGGAGGUUUGGCACCUCGAUGUCGGCUCAUCGCAUCCUAGGGCGGUAGUACGUCCCAAGGGUUGGGCUGUUCGCCCAUGAAAGCGGUACGCGAGCUGGGUUCAGAACGUCGUGAGACAGUUCGGUCCAUAUCCGGUGUAGGCGUUAGAAUAUUGAGAGGAGCCUUCUUUAGUACGAGAGGACCGAGAAGGACAUACCUCUGGUGUACCAGUUAUCGUGCCAACGGUAAACGCUGGGUAGCUAUGUAUGGAGAGGAUAACCGCUGGAAGCAUCUAAGUGGGAAGCCCACCUCAAGAUAAGUAUUCUC